CCUACGGGAGGCUGCAGUAGGGAAUAUUGCUCAAUGGGGGAAACCCUGAAGCAGCAACGCCGCGUGGAGGAUGAAGGUUUUCGGAUUGUAAACUCCUUUUGUUAGAGAAGAUAAUGACGGUAUCUAACGAAUAAGCACCGGCUAACUCCGUGCCAGCAGCCGCGGUAAUACGGAGGGUGCAAGCGUUACUCGGAAUCACUGGGCGGAAAGAGCGCGUAGGCGGGAUAGCAAGUCAGAUGUGAAAGCCUAUGGCUUAACCAUAGAACUGCAUUUGAAACUGUUAGUCUAGAGUAUGGGAGAGGUAGGUGGAAUUCUUGGUGUAGGGGUAAAAUCCGUAGAGAUCAAGAGGAAUACUCAUUGCGAAGGCGACCUGCUAGAACAUAACUGACGCUGAUGCGCGAAAGCGUGGGGAGCAAACAGGAUUAGAUACCCGAGUAGUC
rnacentral:rRNA from 1 species